UUUGAGGAUAUAUAUAGUCUAACCUGCUCACUGAUAAAAUUUAUUUAAGAGCCGCGGUAUAUUGACCGUGCAAAGGUAGCAUAAUCAUUAGUUUUUUAAUUGGAAGCUUGUAUGAAUGGUUGGACAAAGGAAAAACUGUCUCUAUUAUAAAAAUUGAAUUUAACUUUUAAGUGAAAAGGCUUAAAUAUUUCAAGGGGACGAUAAGACCCUAUAAAGCUUUAUAUAUUAACUAAAUUUGAUUAAAUUAAUAUAUAAAAGUUUAAUUUAGUUGUUAUAUUUUAUUGGGGCGAUAUAAGUAUAAUUAAUUUAACUGCUUAAUUAAUUAAACAAUAAUAAAUGAUUUUUUAGUGAUUGAUCCUUUUUUAAAGAUUAAAAGACUAAGUUACUUUAGGGAUAACAGCGUUAUUUUUUUUGAGAGUUCAUAUCGAAAAAGAAGUUUGCGACCUCGAUGUUGAAUUAAAAUGUCUAUAUAAUGCAGCUGUUAUAUAAGAAGGUCUGUUCGACCUUU
rnacentral:rRNA from 1 species